UACGUAGGGGGCGAGCGUUGUCCGGAUUUAUUGGGCGUAAAGAGCGUGUAGGCGGCCAGGUAGGUCUGCUGUGAAAACUCGAGGCUCAACCUCGAGACGUCGGCGGAAACCAUCUGGCUAGAGUCCGGAAGAGGAGAGUGGAAUUCCUGGUGUAGCGGUGAAAUGCGUAGAGAUCGGGAGGAACACCAGAGGCGAAGGCGGCGACCUGGACAGGUACUGACACUCAACUACGAAAGCGUGGGGAGCAAACAGG
rnacentral:rRNA from 1 species